rnacentral:rRNA from 1 species
UCUGAAUGGAAGGGCCAUCGCUCAACGGAUAAAAGGUACUCCGGGGAUAACAGGCUGAUACCGCCCAAGAGUUCAUAUCGACGGCGGUGUUUGGCACCUCGAUGUCGGCUCAUCACAUCCUGGGGCUGAAGUAGGUCCCAAGGGUAUGGCUGUUCGCCAUUUAAAGUGGUACGCGAGCUGGGUUUAGAACGUCGUGAGACAGUUCGGUCCCUAUCUGCCGUGGGCGCUGGAGAAUUGAGGGGGGCUGCUCCUAGUACGAGAGGACCGGAGUGGACGCAUCACUGGUGUUCGGGUUGUCAUGCCAAUGGCACUGCCCGGUAGCUAAAUGCGGAAGAGAUAAGUGCUGAAAGCAUCUAAGCACGAAACUUGCCCCGAGAUGAGUUCUCCCUGAGACUUUAAGUCUCCUGAAGGAACGUUAAAGACGAUGACGUUGAUAGGCCGGGUGUGUAAGCGCAGCGAUGCGUUGAGCUGACCGGUACUAAUGAACCGUGAGGGUUAACCUUACAACGCCGAAG